CGUUGAAACACAGGUUCCCAUACGGUCAACAAAGUUAAGCAACGUCGGGCCUGAUAAGUACUUAGAUGGGUGACCGCUUUGAAAUAUUAGGUAUUGUAAG